GACGAACGCUGGCGGCGUGCCUAAUACAUGCAAGUCGAGCGAAGCGGCGGAUGGGUGAGUAACGCGUGGGUAACCUGCCCCUAAGUCUGGGAUUCCAUUUGGCAACAGAUUCUAUUACCGGAUAUUACUGGAUGGUCCUGCGAUGCAUUAGCUAGUCGGUAAGGUAACGGCUUACCAAGGCGAUGAUGCAUAGCUGGGUUGAGAGAAUGAUCAGCCACAUUGGGACUGAGACACGGCCCAAACGCCUACGGGAGGCAGCAGUAGGGAAUCUUGCACAAUGGACGAAAGUCUGAUGGAGCAACGCCGCGUGUAUGAAGAAGGUUUUCGGAUUGUAAAGCACUGUUAUUGGGGAGGCGUUAAUCAACCAGGAAGUACCGGCUAACUACGUGCCAGCAGCCGCGGUAAUAC
rnacentral:rRNA from 1 species